GAGUGAAGACGCUCCCACAGAACGACGUCGGCCGUUUAGUUGGGCGUCGAGUCAACAGAUGGCGCUGGUGGACGACCGGGGGCUCACAUUUUUUCAAAUGCGUUAGAUAGCAAGUUUCCUCUCUUUCGUGAAUAGUCUUCGAUGUAAACAAACCCAAUACGAUCUCGUAAAUCCGACCCAUGGCGUUUUAGUAUUAAUAAGUGACACUCUUUCUAGCUACUGUCUUCAUGGCUACUGUGAAAAAAGUCAAGCUUGAUGUCCGACCAUUUCAGUCAUCAUGGACAAAUGACUUUGGGUUUAUUCAGCAGAAUGGUCGCGCCGUGUGUGCUCUCUGCCGUGAGGAUGUCGUGUGCCGCACAUCGAGUGUUAAAAGACACUUCGAAACAAAACACGGCAAGACCUUCAAGGAUAGUGCAGACAAGGCAGAAGCUAUUCAGAAAGCAGUAUCUCGCUAUGAGAAGCAAAGUAAUGCAUUUGAAAACCAGGGGACUAGCAAAAAUAAAGCAACAGGGGGGCAAAGUAAUGCUUUUGAAAACCAGAUGACUAGCAAAAACAAGGCAACAGAGGCGCAAAGUACUGCAUUUGAAAACCAGAGGACUAGCAAAAACAAUGCAACAGAGGCCAGCUACAAGCUGGCUCUGUGUAUCGCUAAGCACGGUAAGCCUUUCACUGAUGGAAGUUUUAUAAAAGCAGCUUUCCUAGAGUGCUCUGAGGUGUUAUUUGAUGGCAUGUCAGACAAACACAUGAUCAUCUCAAGGAUAAAAGACAUGCCUGUCUCAGCUAGGACCUUGGAGAGACGUAUUUCUGAAAUGGCUGAUAAUGUAAAUGCGCAGCAAACUGCUGCUUUAACCACUACACCUGUGUUCAGUGUUGCCCUGGUUGAAAGCGUGGAUAUAAAUGACAUUCCCCGGUUGGCUGUAUUUGCCAGGUAUAGUGACACAGAGAUGCAUGAGGAGCUCUGCUGUCUGAAACCUGUGUGUGGCACUACCAAGGUAGAAGACAUACUGAAGACUUUCACUGAGCAUUUUGAGGACAGAGGGCUUGACAUAAGAAAGAUUUUUGCUGUUACAACGGAUGGUGCCUCUGCUGCUGUAGGAAACAAGGGUUUUACUAAGAUGGUUGAGGAUAAAAUUGGCCACCCCAUUCUGAAAUUGCACUGUAUACGUCAUCAAGAAAAUUUAUGUGCCAAGAUCUCAGGCUGUGAUCUCAGCAAGGUGAUGACUACUGUUACAAAAGUAGUGAAUUUUCUUCUUGCAAACUCUUCUCUUACAGACAGACAGUUUCAAGCUUUCCUUGAAGAGGUGGACAGUGCUUACAAAGAUACACCCUUGCAUAGCAGUGUUAGGUGGCUAAGCUGUGGGAAGGUAUUGGAGAGAUUUGUGGAAUGUUUUGAUGAAAUCAAGAUUUUCCUAUCAGAAAAAGACCAAGACUAUCCUGAGCUGGAGGACAGAGAUUGGAUUGUGAAACUUGUGUUUCUCUCAGACAUCACCAAACAUCUAAAUGACUUCAAUCUUCUCUUGCAAGGUGCAGGAAAAACAGUGAUAGAUUUGUAUGAUACUUGGAAGGCAAUUGUUGCAAAGCUUACAAUUUACUCAACAGAUAUCAAAACUGGUUCUUUCCAUUAUUUCAAAAACUUGAAGAACUUAUCUGCAAUUCAUCCUGUCAACACGACUGAUCUUCAGGUGUAUAUGAAACAAUUAAAGUCUGAAUUCUCAGACAGAUUUCAAGAUUUCCAACACAUGGGUCCAGUGUUUUCAUUUUUAAUCAGACCAGACACCUUCAAAUAUGGUGAGUUGGACAUACCUCUCUUUGAGUGGAUGGAAAUUGACGAGUUGGAAAUGCAGUUAAUUGACUUUCAGGCCUCAUCACUGUGGUCAGCUAAAUUUAAAGAUCUUCGAGAAAUACUGGAAACUAGUCGGAAUAAUCAUGCAGCCUCCAUUUUAAGUUCCUGGACAUCACUGCCUGAUAAAUUUAAUUGCAUGAAGAAAGUAGCUUUUGCACUGCUAUCAGCAUUUGGAUCCACGUAUCAAUGUGAGCAGAUAUUUUCACACAUGAAGCAUACCCUCAACCCCCAUCGCAGCAGGCUUACAGUGGAUCAUUCUGAGGGUUGUGUGAAGCUCGUAUCCAGAUAUUCACCUGAAAUAAAAAAUUUGGCCAAAGGAAAGCAAGGGCAAGGAUCGCAUUAACAUGUUUUAUAUUUAUAGGAACCUAAGGAUUUUGAAUGCAGCAAUGGCUAAUGAACAAAAUCAAAUACAAGACUCUAGUUUGAUGUUUUCGAAAUUGUUUAGAAUAGUGCAAAGAGGAAAGGGUGUGCAAGAGCAAGUUUCCAGAUGGGGUUAUACAUAUCCCUGGCAUAUUCCCAUUGCAGUAACCCUGAAAGAUUGUGGGAUUGUGCUUAGGAAACAAUUUGUUAGGCAUGAACGUGAACUUCUUGAACAACCUACAGACCUUAGUAAAUUUGAUGUGUCUUUAAUGCAUAAAUUAUUGGGAUAUGUUCUUGGAUUGGCUCCUCAAAAUGAUAUAAUUUGGGGAACACCAGGAGAUACCCUGGAGUAUCAUUUGACCUUCAAAAACAUGAGGAAUCGUUUAGUUCAUAAAGGGAAUGAUUUUGAUUUUGAAACAUUUUUACGAAGAGGGUAGGAGAUUCAAGAUGUGUUGAAAAAGAUUGUCAUGUGAAGCGGAGCUUUAUCAUAUUAAUGAUGGAAUAUGUGCAAACUUUGCCACGAGCUAGACCAUGACAUAACCUGCAUCUUAGAUUCUGAACAAACAAGCAUUAUAGAAAAUGUUUUUGUGACUGACAUGAAACAUACAUAUAGUAGGUUGUCAGUCUUUUCACCUCUCUUUAAUCUAUUUAAUGAGGCAAGAGCUAUACAAAUAGAUGACGUGUUUACUGAAAUAAAGUCUUAUAAAAGAUAACAUUGGAUUAGAAGAGGCUUCAGUACAAAGGCUUUUGGCCACUUGUGAUGUGAUUCUCUGUGGCUUUUUGGUCAAAGGAACAUCUGAUGUUAAUGAAGAUAUCACCUACAGUUCUCCUCAUAAAUAUUUGCAGGAGUUUUAUGUGGUUAUGAAGAUAAAUGAUGUUCUUCAAGAUUUGAGUAUAUCUGAAAUAUUAUGUGACAUUGAAACCUGUCUUCAGAUUAACUGCAUACCUGCAGAAUACAGGCAACAUAUACUUACUCUUGUACCUAAUAUUCUGAAAGAAUAUGAAUCUUGCAAGUCCUCUAGGACUAUUAUGAAUGUACUUGACUAAGUAUUCCAGGAAGUUGUUGAAAAAUUAGAGCAAGAAAAGAGGUGAUUAGAUAAAAAAAAAACAAAGGGGCAUUUUAGUUCAUCUGGCUGGACUUAUGCAUCUGAGAUCAUUGAAUGAGAAGAGAGCUGAAGAAAUUACUACAUUAUUAAAAGAUUCAGGUGUUGAAAAAAGCCUCUAGUGGCUUUAUAUACUCUCACUUAUUAAUUGUGAUGACACUAUGGUUAAAUACUUUGCAGGUAUGAUGAAUCUGACAGGACACAAUAGUAUUUCAGACAGUCACAUUACUUCGUAUACGAGAGUCUUGAAAUAUGCACAACCAGAGAGUGUCUUGAUCACAGUUAGGAGCAGGCCAGAAGAUGUUCCCCUGCAAGAGGCUUUCAUGAAUCUUCAAGAGUCCUGGGAGGUAAAGGUGUGUCUUGAAGAAGACUUUACGAAUCCUACAAGCAUAAAUAGUGACGUUGAUAAAUCUCUACAGGAAAUGUUUCAGAGGGUUGCAUAUCAAGAGGAGAGUAGCUUUGACGAUGAUGAGACCACUACCAGCAGUGCAGAAUUUGAACCUGACACUCAACUGCACAAAUGAAACAGAAGUUGAUUGGGCGUGUGAGGCCGUCCAAUCACUACAGCCUGUUGACAAC